CAGAUAACACCCGUUACCUAUAUUCCUUGCGUGCAAGGGAAUAUUAUCCCACUUUCCGAAGGCGACUCUCUCCAAUGCGCCCCACUAGGAAGAAGAGGGGAACUGUCAUCCUCUGACUUCCAUGUUCUUGCGGACGGAGUUGGGAGCGGGAAAGGUCCCUUGGCCUAGCAUUCCCUCUCCCCCCUCCUCAUUACGGGCUGCGGAGCGGAGAGUAGGUGAGGCUGUCAAUGUGCUGAACCAGUGCCUGGCUGCGACAAUGGACUGGAUGAGAGCGAAUCAACUGAGGCUCAAUCCAGACAAGACAGAUGCUGCUAGUGCAUGGUUCUUCUGACCGGAUGGUGGAUGUUCAACCUGUCCUGGAUGGAGUUGCACUCCCCAUGAAGGAGCAGGCAACACCUGAGUAUCAUCAGCCAACAAGUCUAAUAGACUAUACUGCAUUCCUGAGGUUCAACAUGCAGGAUACUACUCCCUGUUAUAAAGGCUGCAAAAAGGUGGAGAAGACGGCCAGCCAAAAUCAGGCCUUUUUCAUUGCUCUCCUUUGGAAGAACCAUGGAAUUAAAACACGCAUGCACAAACAGCAUUAGUGACCUUUGGUGCAGGAUGCCAACCCUUCA